rnacentral:rRNA from 1 species
AGUGAACGCUGGCGGUAGGCCUAACACAUGCAAGUCGAACGGCAGCACAGUAAGAGCUUGCUCUUACGGGUGGCGAGUGGCGGACGGGUGAGGAAUACAUCGGAAUCUACUUUUUCGUGGGGGAUAACGUAGGGAAACUUACGCUAAUACCGCAUUCGACCUACGGGUGAAAGCAGGGGAUCUUCGGACCUUGCGCGAUUGAAUGAGCCGAUGUCGGAUUAGCUAGUUGGCGGGGUAAAGGCCCACCAAGGCGACGAUCCGUAGCUGGUCUGAGAGGAUGAUCAGCCACACUGGAACUGAGACACGGUCCAGACUCCUACGGGAGGCAGCAGUGGGGAAUAUUGGACAAUGGGCGCAAGCCUGAUCCAGCCAUACCGCGUGGGUGAAGAAGGCCUUCGGGUUGUAAAGCCCUUUUGUUUGGAAAGAAAAGCAGCAGGUUAAUACCCCGCUGUUCUGACGGUACCCAAAGAAUAAGCACCGGCUAACUUCGUG